rnacentral:rRNA from 1 species
GCGCAGCAGGCGCGAAAACUUUGCAAUGUGCGAAAGCACGACAAGGUUAAUCCGAGUGCAACAUGCUGAAUGUAGCUUUUGGUAAAUGUAAAUAGUUUAUUGAAUAAGGGGAGGGAAAGUCUGGUGUCAGCCGCCGCGGUAAUACCAGCUCCCCGAGUGGUCGGGNCGAUUAUUGGGCCUAAAGCAUCCGUAGCCUGUUCUGUAGGUCUUAUGUUAAAAUCAAUUGCUCAACAAUUGAACUGCAUGAGAUACCACAAAACUAGGGGGCGGGAGAGGUGGACGGUACUCCACGGGUAGGGGUAAAAUCCUCUGAACCGUGAAAGACCACCAGUGGCGAAGGCGGUCCACCAGAACGCGCUCGACGGUGAGGGAUGAAAGCUGGGGUAGCGAACCGGAUUAGAUACCCGGGUAGUCCCAGCUGUAAACGAUGCAAGCUAGGUGAUGCAUCAGCCACGUGUUGAUGCAGUGCCGCAGGGAAGCCGUUAAGCUUGCCGCCUGGGGAGUACGGUCGCAAGGCUGAAACUUAAAGGAAUUGGCGGGGGAGCACCACAAGGGGUGAAGCCUGCGGUUCAAUUGGAGUCAACGCCGGGAACCUUACCAGGAGAGACAGCAGAGUGAAGGUCAAGCUGAAGACUUUACCAGACAAGCUGAGAGGAGGCGCAUGGCCGUCGACAGCUCGUGCCGUGAGGCGUCCUGUUAAGUCAGGCAACGAGCGAGACCCUUGCCAUUAAUUGCUUCCAUCGAUCGAAAGGUUGGCGGAGCUAGUUAAUGGGACUGCCGUUGAUAAAACGGAGGAAGGAAGGGGCCACGGCAGGUCAGUAUGCCCCGAAACUCUUGGGCCACACGCGGGCUGCAAUGGUAGGCACAAUAGGUACCGAAUUCGAGAGAAUGAGGCAAUCCCAAAAUCCUACCCCAGUUGUGAUUGAGGGCUGCAACUCGCCCUCAUGAAUCUGGAAUCCCUAGUAACCGCGUGUCAACAUCGCGCGGUGAAUACGUCCCUGCUCCUUGCACACACCGCCCGUCGCUUCACCCGAGUUGGGUUUGGGGGAGAUAGUGUCUUAUUGACNUUAUCGAACCUAGGUUCGACAAGGGGGGAGAAGUCNANAG